rnacentral:rRNA from 1 species
CAGCAGUCGCCGCGGGAAUACAGAGGGUGCGAGCGUUAAUCGGAUUUACUGGGCGUAAAGCGUGCGUAGGCGGCUUUUUAAGUCGGAUGUGAAAUCCCUGAGCUUAACUUAGGAAUUGCAUUCGAUACUGGGAAGCUAGAGUAUGGGAGAGGAUGGUAGAAUUCCAGGUGUAGCGGUGAAAUGCGUAGAGAUCUGGAGGAAUACCGAUGGCGAAGGCAGCCAUCUGGCCUAAUACUGACGCUGAGGUACGAAAGCAUGGGGAGCAAACAGGAUUAGAGACCCCUGUAGUCCCUGUCUCUUAUAC